rnacentral:piRNA from 1 species
UUUUUUUAUAUCACUCAGUACUUACAACAG